UCCCACAUGCCCAGGCACAAGCCUCCCAACCGGGAAAUCAGCAUCUGUGCAGCAUUGUCUGAGCCCCAGACCCCAUUCUCAUCUCACUGGUGCAUUUCUUCUUGUCUUUUUCUGGUCCAGAAUCAGGAUCACAUCUUGCACUUAGCUGUCAUGUGUCCUUAGUUUCCUUCUGUCUGGAACAUCCUCAGUUUCCCCGCUCUUGACUGUAUUAGUUCACUCGCACGAUAAUAACCAAGCUGCACACUUGAAUAACAACGUUUUCCUUGCAGUUCCGGAAGCCAGAAAUCUGAAAUCAAGGUGUUGGCGGAGUGGGUUUCUUCUGAGGCCUUUCCCCUCGGUGUACAGGUGGUUGUCUUCUCCUCGAGCUUCCUCUGGACUCAGUCUACAAAUUCUGGGUGGAAAUAUCAUUCUUCUUAGAGGUCACCUCAACCCACUUGUAUGAUGCUAAUAUGUAUGAAAUGGCCAAGUUGGUGUCUGCCAGUUCCUCCAUGCAGCCAAUUAGACUCCUGUUGCUGUGAAGAGAAGGAAGGAAAAGUGGAGAGAGAGGAGGUAGGAGGGGAAAGGAAGUGAAGAGCAUUUUACGAUACCGAAGUAGGAAUAGUUGCAGAGUUUACUGUGUGCUGAGGUUUCCCUCGGCGUUGGCACUUCAAUCCUCGUGACCAUUGGAUGGGUGGUAUUGUUGCGAUGCCCAAUGUCCGUCUUACAAAUAAGGAAACUGAAGUCCAGAUGGAUUGGAUAGCUCAUUCCAGGUCUCGCUGCUGCAGUCACCCUGGACAGAGCCACCUCACAGUGAUAGCAGAAGCGGGAGCACGCAAGCCUUGUCACAGGACCACUUUGCAAGACACUGUUGUUCUCAGAUCAUGAACACUCCAUUGACCAAAGCCAAUUGCAUGGCUAAACUGAGGGUUGGAGAAUGACACCAAGCCCACAAGGAAACGCCUGAUUGGAUUAUGGAGGCUGAAAAGUUCUGCUAUCUGCAGUUGGGAGCUGGAGAAUCAGGAAAGCCAGUGGUGGAAUUUAUACUGAGUCUGAGGGCCUCAAGAGCAGGGGACCCAUAGGGUGAGUCCAGGCCUUAGACUGAAGGCUGGAGAACCAAGAACACUAAUGUCUGAGGGCAAGAUAAGAUGACUGUUUGCGGAGAGCAAAUUCAACCUUCCUCUGCCUUUAUUCUCCUCAGGCCCUCAGUGAAUUGGAUGAUGCCCAUCUACAUUGGUGAGAGCGUCUUCUUUGCUCAGACUAUCAGUUCAAAUGCUCAUCUCUUCUUCACCUUCACGCACACGCAGAGAUGUUUUGCCAGCUUAUCUGGGCAUCCCUCAGCCUGGACAAGUGGACACGUAAAUUUAAGAGAAGAGAAAUGAGAAUGGGGAGGACCGUAGAAACCUUGUCAAAUUAACCUUGAUUGAAGUAAAGGGAACUAUUUCUCUAGAAAUAGUGGCAGACAUCAUAUCUGUGUUCAAAUAUAUGAAUAUAUAUAUAUGAAGGUGUAUUACAGAAAUUAGAUGUGCAGUAUGAUUUCAUAGGCUAGACCUUAGACCAAUGGUUCUAUGGAAAGCAUACUGACAUUUGAAACAGGAAACCACCUCUUGCCACUACUUACCAAUUCUCUGACUUUGGAUAAGCCACGCAACUUCUCUGAGCCUCAAAUUCCUCAUUUGUAAAGAAGCUAUAUAAUAUCAAUAAUAAUAACUCAGUCCCACAGAGGAUUAAAUGAGAGUUUAUUGGUGAUUGGACUUUGCAGAUUGUAUUGCUGUACAACUUUGGUGUGAUAAUAGGGGCAUCAGAUUUCUGUUCAAUUUAUGAAGAAGGUCUCAAGAGUCAGAAUAGCUGCCUUUGGAGGUGAUGAGACUUUCUAAGCUGGUUGAAGUUCACUGGGAAUCUCCGGCAAGGAUAUUGUAGAGAGGUUUCAAGUAAUGCAUGAAUCCUCAACCAGAUCAUGAUGAAAGUUCCUCUCAUCCCAGGGAGUCUGUGAUUCUGUUGAAGAGAAAGCAUUUUGUACAUGCUGAUCUAAUCUGUGGCCUGGCAUGGACAUUCAGGACAUUAGAGUGAAUAGUUUUAAAAAGGGCUGUAAUUUUAUCAUCCUGGCAACAUUUUGUGUUAUUAGUGUCAAUAAUCCUCUUAUGAAGGCCUGCCUUAUGAUAGAAAAACACCCAUUGUCCUGACAUUCUGCCUGAAAUGUUACCUUUGUUUCCAAGACACAUCUCAGGCACUAAAUGUAAGCAAGAGAAGUAGGUUGGAUGAACAUUGUGGUGAAGUGAAGCCAACGCAACCCAUUCAAAGAGGUGCACCUGCUUCCCAGCCGCGGCUACAUGUUGACCAUUGGCCAUUUGAGAAUAUGGGUCAUGUGUUCUCAGGUCUUCCAGUUGUUAAGAGAAGCCAGAAAUCUGGACUGUAAGUGAAAUCUUCCAACUUUUAAAUGUUGGCAAUUUUUUUUAAUGUUGAAACUGUUUAUUAAACACUGUGCUGGCCAAAGAUAUAAAGAACAAACGGAACUAGGGGAAUAGUAGAAAGAAUGAUCAAACCUCUGAGUAAGGCCACUUGGAAAAUGUCCUUAUAUAUAUUUUUUAUGCCACCAUUAAGACCACAUUUAUUGUAGAUACAUCACACAUGUCAUUUAAUCUCAUUAACUUGGUGAGGAAGGCUUUAAUAAUACAGGACACAUUUAACCUUGAUGAAAUGCAUAAUACGUCAGUAAUAUCGUAUUAUGGAUGAGGAGACCAAAAUGUAGAGCAGGGAGGAAGCUGCUCAGGGUCAGGGAGAAAGGACCUGAACCCAAGUCUGAGAUUCCAUUCUAUUCUGUUCACUAGACCUUUUUCUUUCUUCUUCCUCCAGCAAAACGAGAUAAUUUUACUUGUAAAUUGCUUGAAAUGUAAUUAAAUGCCUUUACAUGCUGUAUCUCACAUUUUCUCAGAACUAACCUUUGAAUUAGGUGGACUCAUGAUCAUUUCUAAAUAAUAUUAAAUAAACACUAAAACUUGAAGUCCCUUACAUCAUCGGGGGUUUAGUUAUGUCAUAGCGCCAUCCAUUCCCAGAAAAAGAAAAGGCAAAGCACUCAGAGAAAGGCUGCUUCACAUUCAGAGAUGACCCUGUUUUUUGAACUAUACCUGUGGGUUUCUCUCUUGUAUGUAUGUGGUAAUAUUGGUGUAAUUUUGUCAAAUGAUUGGUGUGAGAUUAGAGGUUCGGAGCUACAAAGACAAGCUGUCCUAUAUGUUGAGAAAGGAAAGCUACAGAAGAUUUUGGAAGUUACCAUGUGGGUAAAACUUGUGUGAGGAAAGGUGAUAAACUUUCUUUUCCUAAACAAUUUCCAAAUGUACAAAGAGCAGCAUUUAUUAUAUUUUGAAACAGAGAAGGGAGCCUGGAUUCUUCACAGCUUGCCCAACGGUUUACUAUGUAAUCGAUGUCAAUCCAUGAACUGAUACCAUUUCAACUUUUCUUGUAAAAGACAAUUGUGGCCUGUUAUAUUCUUUUAGUCUUUCUAUUUAAAAAAUGUAUAUAUAGGGUUUGGGUACAUGUGUUGUUUCUGUGUGCCUAACACGUUCAUCUCCAUCUGGUCUUCACAAAGGUCUUUAUUCCAGAAUUUCUUGUCCCAUGACUAAGACCAGGCUAGAGUGGGGCUAUGGCUGAUUAUUCUGAGUUAGAAUAGCAUGGGGAAUCUGAAAAUACCCACUGUGCCCUCAUAAAAACAUGUGUAAUGAGUUCAGUUAGGAAAAUGGUAUUCAAGGAAUUUUCAGAGGCAUGCUAGAUUUCUCCAUGCUAAAUUCUGCUAACUAAGCUGGUUGAGUGUUGCCACUCAGGAAGGUAAAAAGAUUUUUUUUUAAGAUUUUAUUUAUUUAUUCAACAGAGAUAGAGACAGCCAGCGA